UGUUUUUUAGUUGUAUGUUGUGAGUGGAUUUAACAAAUGAAUCAAAACUUUCAACAACGGAUCUCUUGGUUCUGGCAUCGAUGAAGAACGCAGCGAAAUGCGA
rnacentral:rRNA from 1 species